AUGGAUGGAUGGAUUUAUUGAUGUUUAUAGAUUUCAGAGAAAAAUUAAAUGGAAUCUAAUAGCUAAAGCAAAGAGAGCUUGUCUACAUUUACACUGCCAGUGUGAGUCUUGAUGCACAAACUGGGAAUCAGAUUGCCAGGUGAUGCCACACUCUUGCAGAUAGAUGGCUUGCUUUCUCUGUGGACUUAAAAUAAGUCAAGCGUGAGGCCACUCCUCUAAAUCACUGGUACAGGGAUGCGUCUAUACUGCAACUCAGCCUAAGUGUCAGUUCCUCAGAGAACCCUUCCCUGUACCUCCGAGUCUAGAUGAGUCUCCUUCCUCUCUGUUAUAUGCUAUCAUGGAAUUCUCUUUUUUCCC
rnacentral:lncRNA from 10 species